AGCACUGUACGAGAAUGCCACAAUGGAGAAACACUGACAUUUUUCAUUGUUUGGUCUGAUGAUAAAAGAAAGAAAGAAAAAGGGCCACAUCGUCUGGUUUGGCAGGUGGAAGAUUUAUCAGAGAAUGUACCACUUACCACACGUACCACCUACCUAAGCAUUGUUGCAGACCAUGUACACCCUUUUAUGGAAACGGUAUUCCUUGGUGGCUGUGGCCUCUUUCAGCAGGAUAAUGCCUCUGCCACAAAGCAAAAAUGGUUCAGGAAUGGUUUGAGGAGCACAACGAGUUUGAGGAGGUAUAUGGCUGUGAGGUACAGUCAUACUAAUGAAUUGGGAGGAUUCUGGGAAUAUGGUGGUCUCUGCUCUGCACCACAAAAAGAUGCCAGCAGUUGGGGGGCUUUUGUACUACUGAAUGCUCUUGCCCUGACGAGAGGCAUCAGUCCAAGCCAUCUGACACAACGCCAUGCAGUGGAAAUGAGGAAGUUUGUGUACCACAAACUCAAACAAAAUGCAUUAUGUUAAAGGUUUAGGUAACCCAAAAAUGAAAAUUCUGUCAUUAAUUACUCGCCCUCAUGUCGUUUUAUACCCAUAAGACCAUCGUUUAUCUUCAGAACACAAAUU